rnacentral:lncRNA from 1 species
CUCUUGCACGGGUGGGAUCAGGAGACUGAGCCAAGUGCCUUCCCUCCCAGUCCAGUCACCCAGGCUGUCCUCAGACCUGGAUUCCUGCUGUUUCCCUUCCCAGGAUUGCCCCUCUCCCGCCUCCCGAAUUCAAGACCAAAUCUGAUGAUCGCCCUUUUUUGUAUCCCCAUGUUUGUUAUAGCUUGGCCCGAGGAGCUUGGGCCAGGCAGUAUCUUGGCCCCAUUCAUUCCUUGUCUAAAGAUGAUGGUCUUCUGUG